rnacentral:rRNA from 1 species
AGUGAACGCUGGCGGUAGGCCUAACACAUGCAAGUCGAACGGCAGCACAGUAAGAGCUUGCUCUUACGGGUGGCGAGUGGCGGACGGGUGAGGAAUACAUCGGAAUCUACUUUUUCGUGGGGGAUAACGUAGGGAAACUUACGCUAAUACCGCAUACGACCUACGGGUGAAAGCCGGGGAUCUUCGGACCUUGCGCGAUUGAAUGAGCCGAUGUCGGAUUAGCUAGUUGGCGGGGUAAAGGCCCACCCAGGCGGCGAUCCGUAGCUGGUCUGAGAGGAUGAUCAGCCACACUGGAACUGAGACACGGUCCAGACUCCUACGGGAGGCAGCAGUGGGGAAUAUUGGACAAUGGGCGCAAGCCUGAUCCAGCCAUACCGCGUGGGUGAAGAAGGCCUUCGGGUUGUAAAGCCCUUUUGUUGGGAAAGAAAAGCAGCAGGUUAAUACCCCGCUGUUCUGACGGUACCCAAAGAAUAAGCACCGGCUAACUUCGUG